GUAAAAGCUUAAAUAUAUUUUAUAGUAUUCUUACUGUAAUCUGCCUUCUUGUUCUUCAGCUGAUGGCUGCAAUUUUGUUCCCAAGACCACAGGCUGCUGGAUUCACAGCUAUUCUUCCAAAUUUCCAGCUCAUUAUCUGUUGUCUCAUCAUGCAGUCUCUGCUGAUGAAAUCCACAGAGACUAUCAACUGCUCUGAACCCACUACAGACAGUCUCAUAACAGCCCUGAAGGAAAACAUCUUUGGCAAAACUGAAAUAAGGCCAGUGA